rnacentral:rRNA from 1 species
UACAGAGGGGGCAAGCGUUGUUCGGAAUUACUGGGCGUAAGGGCGCGUAGGCGCCUGUUAAGUCGAACGUGAAAUCCCCGGGCUCAACCCGGGAACUGCGUCCGAUACUGGCAGGCUUGAAUCCGGGAGAGGGAUGCGGAAUUCCAGGUGGUAGCGGUGAGAUGCGUAGAUAUCUGGAGGAACACCGGGUGGCGAAGGCGGCCUGCUGGGCAG